GUCCAGACUCCUACGGGAGGCAGCAGUGGGGAAUAUUGCACAAUGGGGGAAACCCUGAUGCAGCGGCGCCGCGUGAGUGGAGAAGUAUUUCGGUAUGUAAAGCUCUAUCAGCAGGGGAGAAAAUGACGGUACCUGACUAAGAAGCCCCGGCUAACUACGUGCCAGCAGCCGCGGUAAUACGUAGGAGGCAAGCGUUAUCCGGAUUUACCGGGUGUAAAGGGAGCGUAGACGGUGAUGCAAGUCAGAAGUGAAAGCCCGGGGCUCAACUCCGGGACUGCUUUUGAAACUGUGUGACUGGAGUGCAGGAGAGGUAAGCGGAAUUCCUGGUGUAGCGGUGAAAUGCGUAGAUAUCAGGAGGAACACCAGUGGCGAAGGCGGCUUACUGGACUGUAACUGACGUUGAGGCUCGAAAGCGUGGGGAGCAAACAGGAUUAGAUACCCGUGUAA
rnacentral:rRNA from 1 species